GGCUGACACGCGGAUGACAUCCUCUGCCCCUUAGGAGUGUUUGCUUUUCUGGUGCAGAAAGAUUGAAGGGAACAGACGAGAACCUAUGUGGGAAUUUAACUUCAAAUUCAAAAAACAGCCUCCCAGAUUGAAGAGUAACUGUUGCAAAGGUCUUCAGCCACCUGUUCAGUAUGAGGAUGUUCACACAAAUCCUGAUCAGGACUGCUGUCUGCUGCAAAUCACCACCCUCAACUUCAUCUUCCUGCCGGUA